GGUUUCUUGGUAAAUAUGAGAAAUAAGACCUGCCCAAUGAUUAAUUAAAUGGCCGCGGUAUUAUGACCGUGCGAAGGUAGCAUAAUCAUUAGUUUUUUAAUUGUGGACUGGAAUGAAAGGUUUGACGUAAUAAUAACUUUUUUAGUUUUAUAUAUUAAAUUUUACUUUUUAGUGAAGAGGCUAAAAUUAGAUCAAAAGACAAGAAGACCCUAUCAAGUUUUAUUAUAUAGUAUUAAUUAUUAGAGGAAAAAUAAAAAUAUAAAGUAAUUUUGCUGGGGCGGUAUAUUGUAACUAAUUAUGAUCCAAAAAUUUUGAUUGAUUGUUUAAAUUACUGUAGGGAUAACAGCGUAAUCUUAUUUGAGAGUUCAUAUCGACAAUAAGGGUUGCGACCUCGAUGUUGGAUUAGAAUUCCUUCUUUGGAGCAGAGUCUAAGAAAGGUGGUCUGUUCGACCAUAAAAAUUCUACA
rnacentral:rRNA from 1 species